UUUCCAUUGGGUUACUUGCUGGGAUAAAGCUGUUAUAAGUCGAAAGAGUUGCUGUUGCUGCCUUCCUUGUAUGGUAAAAUCCUCAGACUACAAUCCUGCAUACCAUUGGAUGAACUGUUGCUAUCUUUUGUAAAAAAAAAUCAGUAGAUAUUUGUCUUAUAAGCAGAAUGAAUUAUAAAUGCAUUUAAUUUUUAAUGCUUUAUUAUUCAAAUUAUAAAUAUUUAUUUCAUUA